AGACCCGAAACCCGGUGAUCUAGCCAUGGGCAGGUUGAAGGUUGGGUAACACUAACUGGAGGACCGAACCGACUAAUGUUGAAAAAUUAGCGGAUGACCUGUGGCUGGGGGUGAAAGGCCAAUCAAACCGGGAGAUAGCUGGUUCUCCCCGAAAGCUAUUUAGGUAGCGCCUCGUGAAUUCAUCUCCGGGGGUAGAGCACUGUUUCGGCUAGGGGGCCAUCCCGGCUUACCAACCCGAUGCAAACUGCGAAUACCGGAGAAUGUUAUCACGGGAGACACACGGCGGGUGCUAACGUCCGUCGUGAAGAGGGAAACAACCCAGACCGCCAGCUAAGGUCCCAAAGUCAUGGUUAAGUGGGAAACGAUGUGGGAAGGCCCAGACAGCCAGGAUGUUGGCUUAGAAGCAGCCAUCAUUUAAAGAAAGCGUAAUAGCUCACUGGUCGAGUCGGCCUGCGCGGAAGAUGUAACGGGGCUAAACCAUGCACCGAAGCUGCGGCAGCGACACUGUGUGUUGUUGGGUAGGGGAGCGUUCUGUAAGCCUGUGAAGGUGUGUCGUGAGGCAUGCUGGAGGUAUCAGAAGUGCGAAUGCUGACAUAAGUAACGAUAAAGCGGGUGAAAAGCCCGCUCGCCGGAAGACCAAGGGUUCCUGUCCAACGUUAAUCGGGGCAGGGUGAGUCGACCCCUAAGGCGAGGCCGAAAGGCGUAGUCGAUGGGAAACGGGUUAAUAUUCCCGUACUUGGUGUUACUGCGAAGGGGGGACGGAGAAGGCUAUGUUGGCCGGGCGACGGUUGUCCCGGUUUAAGCGUGUAGGUGUGUGUUCCAGGUAAAUCCGGUUCACUUUAACACUGAGGCGUGAUGACGAGGCACUACGGUGCUGAAGCAACAAAUGCCCUGCUUCCAGGAAAAGCCUCUAAGCAUCAGGUAACAUCAAAUCGUACCCCAAACCGACACAGGUGGUCAGGUAGAGAAUACCAAGGCGCUUGAGAGAACUCGGGUGAAGGAACUAGGCAAAAUGGUGCCGUAACUUCGGGAGAAGGCACGCUGACACGUAGGUGAAGUGAUUUACUCACGGAGCUGAAGUCAGUCGAAGAUACCAGCUGGCUGCAACUGUUUAUUAAAAACACAGCACUGUGCAAACACGAAAGUGGACGUAUACGGUGUGACGCCUGCCCGGUGCCGGAAGGUUAAUUGAUGGGGUCAGCGCAAGCGAAGCUCCUGAUCGAAGCCCCGGUAAACGGCGGCCGUAACUAUAACGGUCCUAAGGUAGCGAAAUUCCUUGUCGGGUAAGUUCCGACCUGCACGAAUGGCGUAAUGAUGGCCAGGCUGUCUCCACCCGAGACUCAGUGAAAUUGAACUCGCUGUGAAGAUGCAGUGUACCCGCGGCAAGACGGAAAGACCCCGUGAACCUUUACUAUAGCUUGACACUGAACAUUGAGCCUUGAUGUGUAGGAUAGGUGGGAGGCUUUGAAGCGUGGACGCCAGUCUGCGUGGAGCCGACCUUGAAAUACCACCCUUUAAUGUUUGAUGUUCUAACGUGGACCCGUGAUCCGGGUUGCGGACAGUGUCUGGUGGGUAGUUUGACUGGGGCGGUCUCCUCCUAAAGAGUAACGGAGGAGCACGAAGGUUGGCUAAUCCUGGUCGGACAUCAGGAGGUUAGUGCAAUGGCAUAAGCCAGCUUGACUGCGAGCGUGACGGCGCGAGCAGGUGCGAAAGCAGGUCAUAGUGAUCCGGUGGUUCUGAAUGGAAGGGCCAUCGCUCAACGGAUAAAAGGUACUCCGGGGAUAACAGGCUGAUACCGCCCAAGAGUUCAUAUCGACGGCGGUGUUUGGCACCUCGAUGUCGGCUCAUCACAUCCUGGGGCUGAAGUAGGUCCCAAGGGUAUGGCUGUUCGCCAUUUAAAGUGGUACGCGAGCUGGGUUUAGAACGUCGUGAGACAGUUCGGUCCCUAUCUGCCGUGGGCGCUGGAGAACUGAGGGGGGCUGCUCCUAGUACGAGAGGACCGGAGUGGACGCAUCACUGGUGUUCGGGUUGUCAUGCCAAUGGCACUGCCCGGUAGCUAAAUGCGGAAGAGAUAAGUGCUGAAAGCAUCUAAGCACGAAACUUGCCCCGA
rnacentral:rRNA from 1 species